CACGUAGGGGGCAAGCGUUUGUCCGGAUUUAUUGGGCGUAAAGAGCGUGUAGGCGGCCUGACAGGUCUGCUGUGAAAACUCGAGGCUCAACCUCGAGAUGUCGGCGGAAACCGUCUGGCUAGAGUCCGGAAGAGGAGAGUGGAAUUCCUGGUGUAGCGGUGAAAUGCGCAGAUAUCAGGAAGAACACCUAUGGCGAAGGCAGCUCUCUGGGACGGUACUGACGCUGAGACGCGAAAGCGUGGGGAGCGAACAGG
rnacentral:rRNA from 1 species